rnacentral:rRNA from 1 species
AGAGUUUGAUCAUGGCUCAGAUUGAACGCUGGCGGCAGGCUUAACACAUGCAAGUCGAGCGGGGGAAGGUAGCUUGCUACUGGACCUAGCGGCGGACGGGUGAGUAAUGCUUAGGAAUCUGCCUAUUAGUGGGGGACAACAUCUCGAAAGGGAUGCUAAUACCGCAUACGUCCUACGGGAGAAAGCAGGGGAUCUUCGGACCUUGCGCUAAUAGAUGAGCCUAAGUCGGAUUAGCUAGUUGGUGGGGUAAAGGCCUACCAAGGCGACGAUCUGUAGCGGGUCUGAGAGGAUGAUCCGCCACACUGGGACUGAGACACGGCCCAGACUCCUACGGGAGGCAGCAGUGGGGAAUAUUGGACAAUGGGGGGAACCCUGAUCCAGCCAUGCCGCGUGUGUGAAGAAGGCCUUAUGGUUGUAAAGCACUUUAAGCGAGGAGGAGGCUACUUUAGUUAAUACCUAGAGAUAGUGGACGUUACUCGCAGAAUAAGCACCGGCUAACUCUGUGCCAGCAGCCGCGGUAAUACAGAGGGUGCGAGCGUUAAUCGGAUUUACUGGGCGUAAAGCGUGCGUAGGCGGCUUAUUAAGUCGGAUGUGAAAUCCCCGAGCUUAACUUGGGAAUUGCAUUCGAUACUGGUGAGCUAGAGUAUGGGAGAGGAUGGUAGAAUUCCAGGUGUAGCGGUGAAAUGCGUAGAGAUCUGGAGGAAUACCGAUGGCGAAGGCAGCCAUCUGGCCUAAUACUGACGCUGAGGUACGAAAGCAUGGGGAGCAAACAGGAUUAGAUACCCUGGUAGUCCAUGCCGUAAACGAUGUCUACUAGCCGUUGGGGCCUUUGAGGCUUUAGUGGCGCAGCUAACGCGAUAAGUAGACCGCCUGGGGAGUACGGUCGCAAGACUAAAACUCAAAUGAAUUGACGGGGGCCCGCACAA